GUUGUUCUACACUUAUGAUGCACCGGUUAGAAGCAUUUAUGUAUAGGAAAAGUAACUUUGUGGCUAAUUGUCUAGCGAGCAUCCCUGUCGGAUUCCCCAAAUGGGAUAUAUCCUUAUAAUUUGGGGAUAAAUUUAGAGUUCUGGUAAAAAACUCAUCCCAUUGGAUUUCCCAUUUUGUGGAAAAAUUUUGUGUCUUCUUCUCUCUCGACGGUGACCCAUUCCUCGAAACACCAACAAUCACAGCCCCUAUCCAUCGGCAGAUUUUUGUAUUCGUAUCUCUAAGGGGAGGGGACUGUUAUUAGGCUGUGAUGAUGGUGUUAUAGUGCGGGUUAAUUCACAAGUGUGAACCUUGGACACCAUCAGAUAUGGCGGGGUAAUUCCCACUCGGAUUGUUAUAUUGCAGUUUCUGAUACUUUUCAAAAAAGGCAAUGGAGGUUUGGGUGAUGGUUUUGCAGCCAUUUGAUGUUGUCAACAUUCGGUUCUUGAGCCAACGAUGGAAAAAUCCCAAACUUCAUAGUUACGUGUCUAACAUUUCAAUGCAUUUUUAGAUAUGGAUUCACAAGACCCUGGCCAUAUGUACUUCACCAACCUCCUAAGUCAAGAUCCUCAACUAGAUUCCACUUGCGGUGGGCAAAGUGGAAACUCUCCUAUUUGAUGACUCUCCACCCCUACCUCAUAACAAUCCUAUCGGAGUUAGGAAAUCAAUUAGGGUGUGAACUUCACCCCGAAGAAGACAAGUUACUUGUUUCCGUAUGGUUUGAUUGUAGCCUUGAUGCCGUCCAGGGAACAGACCAAAAACACUCACAACUUUGAAAAAAAAAAAAUUUUGAAUACUUCGAGCAAUUUAAAGAAACCACAAAUAACAGGACAACAGUCUUUAAUACAUCGAUGGUCAGUUAUUCAAAAGGCGAUAAACAAAUUUUUUACCAAACUAACCCAGGUUGAAGGCUUGAAUCAAAGUGGUAUGACCGAGCAAGACAAGUAUGACAAGGCGAAGAUUAUGUACCAAUCACUAGAGAAAUGUUUAUUCCAGUUCGAGCAUUUUUUGCACUUGUUGAAGGACCAACCUAAAUGGAUUUGGUGUUCAACAAAGGAGGAUCCAAAGCGAAGGAAGACGAUGUCCCCAUUCCCUACCCCGACUCGAUGUUCAAGCGCUGAGACGGUAGAUUCAGGUUUUAUCUCGCGCCGAAUAAUGUGAGGGAUAAUGACAUGAUCGAAUUGGACCAACCAAUGGGAAUGAAAGCUAAGAAAGAAAAACAAAAGGCCAAAGACAUGGCAGAAAAGGAGAUUGUUGUGCUCAGCAGGCUGAAGUAUACCCUUGUGGAGGAGUCACAUGCUCAGGAGAAAGAGUUUUAUUGCCUCAAGGCCGAGAAGAUGGAAUAUGACAAGAAAAAAUAGGUAAAUGAAAUCCGUCAAGAGGAUGAAAGACUGAGGUGAGAGGCUGAGAAGAUGGAAAUUGACAAGGAAAAAGAGCUAAAUAAAAUCCAUCAAGAAGAUGAAAGAUUGAGGUUGGAGUCAGAGAAAGUAGAGCUCGCCAAGAAGAAAGCGGAUCAGUGCAUUAUGAUAAUGGACGUUAGUGCCAUGCCAACACUGCAGCGGUUAUAUUUCGAGGACCUGCAAAGUGAAAUCAUGGCGAGACUUAACGAUCUUGCACAUUUGGAUUGAUAAAAAAUUAGGAAUUUUUUCACAGUUUAUUUCUUUAUUUUCUAUUUCAAACAAAUAUGUAUGACAAUAUUAUUUAUACUAAGAUAGUUUAAUUUUUAUUU